rnacentral:rRNA from 1 species
UACAGAGGUCCCGAGCGUUGUUCGGAUUCACUGGGCGUAAAGCGUGCGUAGGUGGUUUGUUAAGUCUGAUGUGAAAGCCCUGGGCUCAACCUGGGAACUGCAUUGGAUACUGGCUGACUAGAGUACGGGAGAGGUGAGUGGAACUCCGAGUGUAGAGGUGAAAUUCGUAGAUAUUCGGAAGAACACCAGUGGCGAAGGCGACUCACUGGCCCGUUACUGACGCUGAGGCACGAAAGCGUGGGGAGCAAACAGG